rnacentral:rRNA from 1 species
UACGGAGGGGACUAGCGUUGUUCGGAAUUACUGGGCGUAAAGCGCACGUAGGCGGAUUUGUAAGUCAGGGGUGAAAGCCCGCGGCCCAACCGCGGAAGUGCCCCUGAUACCGCCGGCCUUGAGGGGGAUAGGGGCGUGCGGAACUUCGGGUGGAGCGGUGAAAUGCGUAGAUAUCCGAAGGAACACCGGUGGCGAAGGCGGCACGCUGGGUCCCUACUGACGCUGAGGCGCGAAAGCCAGGGGAGCGAACGGG